GACAGAGGAAACUUUCGAUGAGGACUACAGGGGGCCACUGGAUUUCAGAGCUGCAUGAGAUCUUGGAGUAACCACUUCUCAUUACCAUGCUUGAACGUCAGGUGAAGUGAAGGCAGGAGACAGGUCUUAAAAACCUCUGUGUCACUGGAGGUCUGUUGAGGGAAAAACAUAGGUCUUCUUAGUCCUAACAAAGCUUAGCCUUGACCCAGAAGAAGAAGAAGAAGAAGAAGAAGAAGAAGAAGAAGAAGAAGAAGAA
rnacentral:lncRNA from 1 species